CAAUUUUUUAACUAAACUUUGUCAAACUGAAGAGGCGCAGAGGGGUGUGCCCUCAAAUUGACCGUUGACACAGGUGGGACUGGCCAAAAAAAGAUGGCCUCGAUCGUGGUGGUAACAGACACCGACGGCGGAGACCGCACUCCUCUACUUCAGAACUCACAACCUGAGGAUUCGCGGGGAGAUGUGACGGUCAGAGACGGAGAAACUGUCUAUUCGACGGCGCCAGUGGAGGAGCUACCAGAUAAAUCAGAGUCUAAUAUUUCAACUGAUCCUAAACAACGACUUGUCUCUCUCGACGUUUUCCGAGGCAUCACUAUCGCGCUGAUGAUUUUAGUUGAUGAUGCUGGAAAAGCUUUUCCAUCGAUAAACCACGCACCGUGGUUCGGAGUGACAAUCGCGGACUUUGUGAUGCCGUUUUUUCUCUUUGGUGUUGGUGUCUCUGUGAGUCUUGUGUUCAAGAAAGUACCUAACAAAUCAGCAGCUACAAAGAAAGUUAUAUUGAGGACCAUUAAGCUUUUUCUCUUGGGAGUAAUUCUUCAAGGUGGGUAUUUCCACGGACGCGGCCAUUUAACUUAUGGGGUGGAUGUGGAGAAAAUACGAUUGAUGGGUGUGCUACAGAGGAUCGCAAUUGGCUAUCUGUUGGCUUCACUAUUGGAGAUUUGGCUUAUUAAUAAUACUGUCGUUGAUUCAGCAGUGGCAUUUGUGAAGAGAUACUCUUUCCAGUUGGCAGCUGGAAUCUUACUAGGUUUAUUAUACAUGAUCCUGCUGUAUGGCCUAUAUGUUCCAAACUGGACCUUUGAAGUCUCAACUCUCAGCAUAACCUCCUCACUAUUUGGAGUUGGUACUCAAACUGUUCAAUGUGGAGUGAGGAGCAGUCUCGAACCUCCUUGCAAUGCGGUUGGCUUUCUUGAUCGAUUUCUUCUUGGUGAACAUCAUCUGUAUCAACGUCCUGUGUACAGAAGAACAAAGGAAUGCAGUGUCAACUCUCCAGAUUAUGGACCUCUACCUCCAAAUUCACCAGCGUGGUGCUUGGCUCCGUUUGACCCGGAGGGCAUCUUAAGCUCUAUGAUGGCUGCCAUUACAUGUUUAAUCGGAUUGCAUUAUGGGCACAUUCUUGUGCAUUGUAAGGACCAGAUGCAGAGGGUAAUUUUAUGGUCAAUAUUGUCGCUUCCUCUAUUAAUCGUUGGCUAUCUUUUGAAUGUUGUAGGUGUUCCUUUUUCUAAACCACUAUACACAUUAAGCUAUAUGUUCAUCACAGCUGGAGCAUCGGGAAUUUUUCUAACCAUUAUUUUCUACCUAGUCGAUGUCAAAUGUAUUAGGAAGCCGAUGGUAAUAUUUCAGUGGAUGGGAAUGAAUGCUCUCAUCAUUUAUGCUCUGGCUGCUAGUGACGUCUUUCCAGAAGCUCUGCAAGGUUUAUACUGGCGUUCACCUGAAAACAACCUGGUUGAUUUCUCCGAAAGGCUAUGGCAAACGUUGCUUCAUUCUGAAAAAUGGGGUACAUUGGCAUUUGUUAUGGUUGAGAUCUUAUUUUGGGGUUUAGUUGCUGGUUUCCUCCACAAGAAACGCGUAUAUAUAAAAAUAUAAGGUCUCUUUUAGGCAGUUUUCUUUUGAAUCAUUGAAGACCAAGAAAAUACCAGUGGUGGUACCCUCAAGGUAAUGAGGAGCUUGAAAAUGAUAACCACCUUGUUCGUAGCAUUGCUUUAUGGCAUUUUGUUCAUUAUCGAAUGGACAACUUAAAUGGCCUCUGGAUCUUCUUUAUCAAGGCCAAGUAUGGAACGGCUUGGGAAAAAGUGAAUGGGGUAACAGAUAAGAGAGAACCCUUUUUAUCUUGACUUCACCAAGAUAAGAGACCAGGAAUAGUUUUUUUUAAGAGAAAAUUGCAUCAUUUGUCCCCAAUAUAUUAUCCGAGUAGAAAAUUGGUCCUUGCCCUUUUAGAGGAUCGGGUUUUUACAAAUUCUUCAUCAUAAUUGCACAAUGAUCUAACAAUAGAAAUAGCCUAAAUAUUUGUUAA